rnacentral:lncRNA from 1 species
UGUUCUACAACAGAACACCAGAACUCAUUUCCAACUUUGUACUUUUUUCUCCACCCAACCCCCACACCCACAACCAGAUUUAGGUAACUGAUAUCCACCAUCCUACUGUCAGAAUUUGACUUUGAGCCCAGCGCAGUGGUGCAUACCUAUAAUCCCAGUGGUUCUGAAGACUGAGACAGGAGGAUGGUGAGUUCAAAGAUCCUCAGCAAAAGUGAGGUGCUAAGCAACCCAGUGAGACCUUGUCUCUAAAUAAAAUACAAAAUAGGGCUGGGGGUGUGGCUCAGGGGUCCAGUGCCCCUGGGUUCAAUUCCUGGAAUUCACUUCCCCAAAAAAGAAUUUGACUUUGAUAGAUGACCAUAUAAAUGGUCCUCUAGAUUCACCCCAUCUCGUAAACAAAUGAUAGCAUUCCCUGUCCUUUGUCAAGGCCCAAUAGUACUCAUUGUGUUUACAUUCUUCUUUACUCCAGUCAUCCUUUGGACACUGAUUGUUUCCAUGUCUUGCCUAUUGUAAAUAAUACUGGAAAAAAAAACAGGAGUGUAGAUAACCCCUCAGCAUACUGACUUCAAUUUCUUUGGAUAAAUACCCAGUAACCCAGUAACCCAGUACUGGGGUUGCUGGAUCAUAUUGUAGUUCUGUAUUUCUUAAGCAAUCUCCAUACUAUUUUCCAAAAUGGAUGUACUAACUUAUAAUACCACAAAUAGAUCAAGAUUUUUUUUUUCUCCACGUUAUCAGCAAUUGUUAUCUUUUUUAAAAUAACCAAUCUAGC